rnacentral:rRNA from 1 species
GAAGACGUCGGCGGCAGGCUCAACACAUGCAAGUCGAACGAACUCUUCGGAGUUAGUGGCGGACGGGUGAGUAACACGUGGGAACGUGCCUUUAGGUUCGGAAUAACUCAGGGAAACUUGUGCUAAUACCGAAUGUGCCCUUCGGGGGAAAGAUUUAUCGCCUUUAGAGCGGCCCGCGUCUGAUUAGCUAGUUGGUGAGGUAAAGGCUCACCAAGGCGACGAUCAGUAGCUGGUCUGAGAGGAUGAUCAGCCACAUUGGGACUGAGACACGGCCCAAACUCCUACGGGAGGCAGCAGUGGGGAAUCUUGCGCAAUGGGCGAAAGCCUGACGCAGCCAUGCCGCGUGAAUGAUGAAGGUCUUAGGAUUGUAAAAUUCUUUCACCGGGGACGAUAAUGACGGUACCCGGAGAAGAAGCCCCGGCUAACUUCGUGCCAGCAGCCGCGGUAAUA